rnacentral:rRNA from 1 species
GCAGUCGCCGCGGUAAUACAGAGGGUGCAAGCGUUAAUCGGAUUUACUGGGCGUAAAGCGUGCGUAGGCGGCUUUUUAAGUCGGAUGUGAAAUCCCUGAGCUUAACUUAGGAAUUGCAUUCGAUACUGGGAAGCUAGAGUAUGGGAGAGGAUGGUAGAAUUCCAGGUGUAGCGGUGAAAUGCGUAGAGAUCUGGAGGAAUACCGAUGGCGAAGGCAGCCAUCUGGCCUAAUACUGACGCUGAGGUACGAAAGCAUGGGGAGCAAACAGGAUUAGAUACCCCUGUAGUCCCUGUCUCUUAUAC